GACGAACGCUGGCGGCGUGCUUAACACAUGCAAGUCGAACGGAAAGGCCCUGCUUUUGUGGGGUGCUCGAGUGGCGAACGGGUGAGUAACACGUGAGUAACCUGCCCUUGACUUUGGGAUAACUUCAGGAAACUGGGGCUAAUACCGGAUAGGAGCUCCUGCUGCAUGGUGGGGGUUGGAAAGUUUCGGCGGUUGGGGAUGGACUCGCGGCUUAUCAGCUUGUUGGUGGGGUAGUGGCUUACCAAGGCUUUGACGGGUAGCCGGCCUGAGAGGGUGACCGGCCACAUUGGGCCUGGGAUACGGCCCAGACUCCUACGGGAGGCAGCAGUGGAGAAUAUUGCACAAUGGGCGGAAGCCUGAUGCAGCAACGCCGCGUGCGGGAUGACGGCCUUCGGGUUGUAAACCGCUUUCGCCUGUGACGAAGCGUGAGUGACGGUAAUGGGUAAAGAAGCACCGGCUAACUACGUG
rnacentral:rRNA from 1 species